ensembl:snRNA Gm23452 U6 spliceosomal RNA
GUGCUUGCUUCGACAGCACAUAUGCUGAAAUUGGAAUGACACAGAGAAGAUUAGCAUGGCCCCUGCUCAAGGGUGACAUGCAAAUUCAUGAAGCAUUCCAUAGUUUU